rnacentral:rRNA from 1 species
GACCAGACUCCUACGGGAGGCAGCAGUGGGGAAUAUUGGGCAAUGGGCGAAAGCCUGACCCAGCAACGCCGCGUGAAGGAAGAAGGCUUUCGGGUUGUAAACUUCUUUUGACAGGGAAGAGCAGAAGACGGUACCUGUCGAAUAAGCCACGGCUAACUACGUGCCAGCAGCCGCGGUAAUACGUAGGGAGCAAGCGUUAUCCGGAUUUACUGGGUGUAAAGGGCGCGUAGGCGGGAUGGCAAGUCAGAUGUGAAAUCCGGGGGCUCAACCCCUGAACUGCAUUUGAAACUGUCGUUCUUGAGUACUGGAGAGGUUGACGGAAUUCCUAGUGUAGCGGUGAAAUGCGUAGAUAUUAGGAGGAACACCAGUGGCGAAGGCGGUCAACUGGACAGCAACUGACGCUGAGGCGCGAAAGCGUGGGGAGCAAACAGGAUUAGAUACCCGAGUAUU